GAUGAACGCUGGCGGCGUGCCUAAUACAUGCAAGUCGAGCGAACGGACGAGAAGCUUGCUUCUCUGAUGUUAGCGGCGGACGGAUGAGUAACACGUGGAUAACCUACCUAUAAGACUGGGAUAACUUCGGGAAACCGGAGCUAAUACCGGAUAAUAUUUUGAACCGCAUGGUUCAAAAGUGAAAGACGGUCUUGCUGUCACUUAUAGAUGGAUCCGCGCUGCAUUAGCUAGUUGGUAAGGUAACGGCUUACCAAGGCAACGAUGCAUAGCCGACCUGAGAGGGUGAUCGGCCACACUGGAACUGAGACACGGUCCAGACUCCUACGGGAGGCAGCAGUAGGGAAUCUUCCGCAAUGGGCGAAAGCCUGACGGAGCAACGCCGCGUGAGUGAUGAAGGUCUUCGGAUCGUAAAACUCUGUUAUUAGGGAAGAACAUAUGUGUAAGUAACUGUGCACAUCUUGACGGUACCUAAUCAGAAAGCCACGGCUAACUACGUGCCAGCAGCCGCGGUAAUACGUAGGUGGCAAGCGUUAUCCGGAAUUAUUGGGCGUAAAGCGCGCGUAGGCGGUUUUUUAAGUCUGAUGUGAAAGCCCACGGCUCAACCGUGGAGGGUCAUUGGAAACUGGAAAACUUGAGUGCAGAAGAGGAAAGUGGAAUUCCAUGUGUAGCGGUGAAAUGCGCAGAGAUAUGGAGGAACACCAGUGGCGAAGGCGACUUUCUGGUCUGUAACUGACGCUGAUGUGCGAAAGCGUGGGGAUCAAACAGGAUUAGAUACCCUGGUAGUCCACGCCGUAAACGAUGAGUGCUAAGUGUUAGGGGGUUUCCGCCCCUUAGUGCUGCAGCUAACGCAUUAAGCACUCCGCCUGGGGAGUACGACCGCAAGGUUGAAACUCAAAGGAAUUGACGGGGACCCGCACAAGCGGUGGAGCAUGUGGUUUAAUUCGAAGCAACGCGAAGAACCUUACCAAAUCUUGACAUCCUUUGACAACUCUAGAGAUAGAGCCUUCUCCUUCGGGGGACAAAGUGACAGGUGGUGCAUGGUUGUCGUCAGCUCGUGUCGUGAGAUGUUGGGUUAAGUCCCGCAACGAGCGCAACCCUUAAGCUUAGUUGCCAUCAUUAAGUUGGGCACUCUAAGUUGACUGCCGGUGACAAACCGGAGGAAGGUGGGGAUGACGUCAAAUCAUCAUGCCCCUUAUGAUUUGGGCUACACACGUGCUACAAUGGACAAUACAAAGGGCAGCGAAACCGCGAGGUCAAGCAAAUCCCAUAAAGUUGUUCUCAGUUCGGAUUGUAGUCUGCAACUCGACUACAUGAAGCUGGAAUCGCUAGUAAUCGUAGAUCAGCAUGCUACGGUGAAUACGUUCCCGGGUCU
rnacentral:rRNA from 1 species